AGCCUGAACGCUGGCGGCGUGGCUAAGACAUGCAAGUCGUACGGAGGUAGCAAUACCUCAGUGGCGAACGGGUGAGUAAUGAAUCGUUAACGUGCCCCGGACUCUGGGAUAGCCGGUCGAAAGGCCGGGUAAUACCAGAUGAUAUACCUUUAUCGCAUGAUAGAGGUCUCAAAGGUCCGCCGGUCUGGGAGCGGGCGAUUUCGUAUCAGCUAGUUGGUGAGGUAACGGCUCACCAAGGCGACGACGCGUAGCCGGACUGAGAGGUUGGCCGGCCACAUUGGGACUGAGACACUGCCCAGACUCCUACGGGGGCUGCAGUAACGAAUCUUCCGCAAUGCACGAAAGUGUGACGGAGCGACGCCGCGUGUGGGACGAAGCCCUUCGGGGUGUAAACCACUGUCAGAGGAAAGAAAGUUCUGAUCUACCUCAGAGGAAGAGGCGGCUAACUCUGCGCCAGCAGCCGC
rnacentral:rRNA from 1 species